GAUGAACGCUGGCGGCGUGCUUAACACAUGCAAGUCGAACGGAAAGGCUCCUGCUUGCAGGGGUACUCGAGUGGCGAACGGGUGAGUAACACGUGGGUGAUCUGCCCUGCACUUCGGGAUAAGCCUGGGAAACUGGGUCUAAUACCGGAUAGGACCACAUUUUGGAUGGUGUGGUGGAAAGUUUUUCGGUGUGGGAUGAGCUCGCGGCCUAUCAGCUUGUUGGUGGGGUAAUGGCCUACCAAGGCGUCGACGGGUAGCCGGCCUGAGAGGGGGUACGGCCACAUUGGGACUGAGAUACGGCCCAGACUCCUACGGGAGGCAGCAGUGGGGAAUAUUGCACAAUGGGCGCAAGCCUGAUGCAGCGACGCCGCGUGGGGGAUGACGGCCUUCGGGUUGUAAACUCCUUUCGCUAGGGACGAAGCGUUUUUGUGACGGUACCUGGAGAAGAAGCACCGGCUAACUACGUG
rnacentral:rRNA from 1 species